UAGGACUCACGGCGGAAACCCAUUGGUCAGCUUCAUCAUUUAAUAUUCGUGACGUUCUUUGUGUAACGGGUCAAUUCUUAAUAAAGUUUUAUACUUUUAGCAGUGUCAUUUUCCCCGUUCUGGAUGUGUUCAUUAACCUGACAGGACACGACUCCUAUAGACUGCGGGGAGGCGGAGGACUUUAUUUAGGGACACCUUAACUCUCCACCCCUCCUCUCUCUCUCUCUCUCUCUCUCUCUCUCUCUCUCUCUCUCUCUCUCUCUCUCUCUCUCUCUCUCUCUCUCUCUCUUUCUUUCUUUUUCCCCACUGCUGGUCCUGUGGGUGUGUGCGGAAGGUUAGCGUGAGCGCAGCACGUGUGGUCGAAAUUGUUUGUCGCGAGCCCAGCGUGAAGCUAUGUCGGUGUGCGUGUGUGCGCGACGGUGUCGGCGUCGCUGUGGAUGUACGCUGUCCCUGCUUUAUUUGAAUGAAUUAAAGGGCUGCCUCCAGCAAAAUAGUUACGUCACUGUUUUUUCCCACUUUAGAUUUCAUUUAGAUUAUUUGGUUUGAUUAUUUGUUUCUUUGUUUAAAUUAAUUUUGUUUUGUUCUAUUGCAAGGGGCAAUAUAUAUGGUUGACUGGGACUGUGCAAUUCGGUGGUAGUGACUUGAAUUAUUGGCUCCAUAAAGUAGAGGCCCUCUUUUGUCAUUUUGUUGUUGUAUACCGCUUGCAGUGAUUUUCUGUGAAUGUGUUGUGUUUUGUUUUUAAUGCAUGAUAUUUUAGCAUUGUACAAUUGGGUCUGGAGCCUCUAAUUUCUCUUUUUUUAAGCUGUCAUUUAUAUCAAGUCAAGGCCAGCCUUUCAA